UUGAAAGGGAAACGAUUGAAGUCAGUCGUACCGACGAGAAAUCAACUUAUCGUGUGCGAACUUGUGGGCGUGCGUGAGUUUCGGCCUCGCUGUUUGCAUGUUUGUGUGCUUUGGGUGUACUUUUUCGUAUGGUAGGCCAACGUCAGUUUCGAUCACUAUAAAAUGACUGGCGGAAUGUAGCUUCGAUUUCGGUUGAAGUGUUAUAGCCUCUGGUAGAUGUGGUGAUUGGGACUGAGGAUUGCAACGAAUAUCCUUUGGGCUAUCCGUCUGAUCUCUGAAAGUUGCUCAGGUGCCGAAAGCGUGCUUACGACAUUUUAGUUGGCGGUCAAAAGGUUAGAACGUGAUUACAUUCGUUAAGGAUGUUGACGUA
rnacentral:rRNA from 1 species